rnacentral:rRNA from 1 species
UACAGAGGGUGCAAGCGUUGUUCGGAAUUAUUGGGCGUAAAGGGCGUGUAGGCGGUUUGCUAAGUCAUGUGUGAAACUCCCCGGCUAACCGAGGAACGACGCAUGAUACUGGCAAGCUAGAGUACCAAAGAGGGGGGUGGAAUUCCCGGUGGUAGCGGUGAAAUGCGUAGAUAUCGGGAGGAACGACCGGGUGACGAAGGCGGCCCCCUGGUUGGAUACUGACGCUGAGACGCGAAAGCGUGGGGAGCAAACAGG